AGUCUUAUAGUCAAUAAUGAUAUGAAAUUGCAAAUUUUAAGGAAUAAUAAUUUUUAUUAAGGCUU
rnacentral:tRNA from 1 species